CUCGCCACUCCUCCGCGCGUUAUCGCUGCUCAAUGCAUUCCUGACAUCAGCACCAGAGUGCGACUUGUUUGCGUGGAGAUGGGCGAAUGUGUGCCAGGAGUGUCUGAGGUUUUGUGAGAUGAAGGAUGAUAGGCUUUCCAGCACUUGCAUUUGACUUCAUAUGACUAUCUGUAUUUUACUUCAUAUAUAUUUUGUAUUUCUAUAGUUUAAUUAUUCGGUGUAAUGGCCUAUGCUGUGAUGCCGUGUAAAUAUAUUUAAAAUAAAUAAUAAAUA